rnacentral:rRNA from 1 species
UACGGGGGGGGCAAGCGUUGUUCGGAAUUACUGGGCGUAAAGGGGACGUAGGCGGCCAACUAAGUCCGACGUGAAAUCCCAAGGCUUAACCUUGGAACUGCGUCGGAUACUGGAUGGCUUGAAUUCGGGAGAGGGAUGCAGAAUUCCAGGUGUAGCGGUGAAAUGCGUAGAGAUCGGGAAGAACAUCGGUGGCGAAAGCGCUCUGCUGGACUGCAACUGACACUCAGGGACGGAAGCUAGGGGAGCGAAUGGG